UACGUAGGGGCCUAGCGUUGUCCGGAUUUAUUGGGCGUAAAGAGCUCGUAGGCGGUUCGGUAAGUCAGGUGUGAAAUCUCCACGCUCAACGUGGAGGCGCCACCUGAAACUGCCGUGACUCGAGUCCGGUAGGGGAGUGUGGAAUUCCCGGUGUGAGCGGUGAAAUGACGCAGAGUAUCGGGAGGAACACCAGUGGCGAAGGGCGGCACUCUGGGACGGUACUGACGCUGAGACGCGGAAAGCGUGGGGAGCGAACGAGGA
rnacentral:rRNA from 1 species